rnacentral:rRNA from 1 species
GACAGAGGUGCCGAGCGUUAGGCGGAAUCACUGGGCUUAAAGCGUGUGUAGGCGGAUCGUUAAGUACCUUGUGAAAUCCCAUGGCUCAACCAUGGAACUGCUUGGCAUACUGGCGGUCUUGAGCCAGCUAGGGGCUACCGGAACAAAUGGUGGAGCGGUGAAAUGCGUAGAUAUCAUUUGGAACGCCAAUGGUGAAAACAGGUAGCUGGGGCUGUGCUGACGCUGAGACACGAAAGCCAGGGGAGCGAACGGG